rnacentral:rRNA from 1 species
GAUGAACGCUGGCGGCGUGCCUAACACAUGCAAGUCGAACGGAGUCCCGCCUUUAAGGCCUUCGGGUCAAAGCGGGGACGCCUGAGUGGCGCACGGGUGAGUAACACGUGGGCAACCUGGCUCAUAGAGGGGGAUAACAGAGAGAAAUUUCUGCUAAUACCGCAUAAGCACACACUGCCUCAUGGCAGAGGGUGAAAAGAGAAUCGCUAUGAGAUGGACCCGCGUCUGAUUAGACAGUUGGCAGGGUAAGAGCCUACCAAAGCGACGAACAGUAGCCGAUCUGAGAGGAGGACCGGACACAUUGGGGCUGAGACACGGCCCGAAAUCGUACGGGAGGGAGGAGUGGGGGGUAUUGCACAAUGGGGGGAACCCUGAUGCAGCGACGACGGGUGAGUGAAGAAGUAUGUCGGUAAGUAAAGCUCUAUCAGCCGGGAAGAUAAUGACGGUACCUGAACAAGAAGCCCCGGCUAACUACGUG